rnacentral:rRNA from 1 species
AGGACGAACGCUGGCGGCGUGCUUAACACAUGCAAGUCGAACGAGGUGCUUGCACCUAGUGGCGAACGGGUGAGUAACACGUGAGCAACCUGCCCUUGGCUCUGGGAUAGCCUCCGGAAACGGGGAUUAAUACCGGACAUGACCUUGGUCUGCAUGGACUGAGGUGGAAAGUUUUUCGGCCAGGGAUGGGCUCGCGGCCUAUCAGCUUGUUGGGGGGGUAAUGGCCCACCAAGACUAUGAUCGGUA